ACGGGUGCGUAACGCGUGGGAAUCUGCCCUUGGGUUCGGAAUAACAGUUAGAAAUGACUGCUAAUACCGGAUGAUGUCUUCGGACCAAAGAUUUAUCGCCCAGGGAUGAGCCCGCGUAGGAUUAGGUAGUUGGUGGGGUAAUGGCCCACCAAGCCGACGAUCCUUAGCUGGUCUGAGAGGAUGAUCAGCCACACUGGGACUGAGACACGGCCCAGACUCCUACGGGAGGCAGCAGUGGGGAAUAUUGGACAAUGGGCGAAAGCCUGAUCCAGCAAUGCCGCGUGAGUGAUGAAGGCCUUAGGGUUGUAAAGCUCUUUUACCAGGGAUGAUAAUGACAGUACCUGGAGAAUAAGCUCCGGCUAACUCCGUGCCAGCAGCCGCGGUAAUACGGAGGGAGCUAGCGUUGUUCGGAAUUACUGGGCGUAAAGCGUACGUAGGCGGUUACUCAAGUCAGAGGUGAAAGCCCGGGGCUCAACCCCGGAACUGCCUUUGAAACUAGGUAGCUAGAAUCUUGGAGAGGUCAGUGGAAUUCCGAGUGUAGAGGUGAAAUUCGUAGA
rnacentral:rRNA from 1 species